GUGACAUCAGUCGCAGCGCCGAGUAGCUAUAUUCCUAAGGGAUAACCGCUGAAAGCAUCUAAGCGGGAAGCCCACCUAAAGAUUAGAACUCGUUUUCCUUAAUCGGAAUGAAGACCCCUAGAAGAAUACUAGGUAUAGUCGGGAGUAAGUGGAAGUCCUGUAAAGGAUUAAGCUUAACUUUACGAAUUGGUCGAAGG
rnacentral:rRNA from 1 species